rnacentral:rRNA from 1 species
UACAGAGGGUGCGAGCGUUAAUCGGAAUUACUGGGCGUAAAGCGUGCGUAGACGGUUAUUUAAGUCGGGUGUUGAAAGCCCCGGGCUCAACCUGGGAAUUGCAUUCGAGACUGAAUAGCUAGGGUACGGUAGAGGGAAGUGGAAUUUCCGGUGUAGCGGUGAAAUGCGUAGAUAUCGGAAGGAACAUCAAGUGGCGAAAGCGACUUCCUGGACCAGUACCGACGUUCAGGCACGAAAGCGUGGGGAGCAAACA